rnacentral:rRNA from 1 species
AGAGUUUGAUCAUGGCUCAGGAUGAACGCUGGCGGCGUGCUUAACACAUGCAAGUCGAACGAUGAUCCGGUGCUUGCGCCGGGGAUUAGUGGCGAACGGGUGAGUAACACGUGAGUAACCUGCCCUUGACUCUGGGAUAAGCCUGGGAAACUGGGUCUAAUACCGGAUAUGACUCCUCAUCGCAUGGUGGGGGGUGGAAAGCUUUUUGUGGUUUUGGAUGGACUCGCGGCCUAUCAGCUUGUUGGUGGGGUAAUGGCCUACCAAGGCGACGACGGGUAGCCGGCCUGAGAGGGUGACCGGCCACACUGGGACUGAGACACGGCCCAGACUCCUACGGGAGGCAGCAGUGGGGAAUAUUGCACAAUGGGCGAAAGCCUGAUGCAGCGACGCCGCGUGAGGGAUGACGGCCUUCGGGUUGUAAACCUCUUUCAGUAGGGAAGAAGCCCUCUUUGGGGGUGACGGUACUUGCAGAAGAAGCGCCGGCUAACUACGUGCCAGCAGCCGCGGUAAUACGUAGGGCGCAAGCGUUAUCCGGAAUUAUUGGGCGUAAAGAGCUCGUAGGCGGUUUGUCGCGUCUGCUGUGAAAGACCGGGGCUCAACUCCGGUUCUGCAGUGGGUACGGGCAGACUAGAGUGCAGUAGGGGAGACUGGAAUUCCUGGUGUAGCGGUGAAAUGCGC